CCUACGGGAGGCAGCAGUGGGGAAUAUUGGGCAAUGGGCGCAAGCCUGACCCAGCAACGCCGCGUGAAGGAAGAAGGCUUUCGGGUUGUAAACUUCUUUUGUCAGGGAAGAGUAGAAGACGGUACCUGACGAAUAAGCCACGGCUAACUACGUGCCAGCAGCCGCGGUAAUACGUAGGUGGCAAGCGUUGUCCGGAUUUACUGGGUGUAAAGGGCGUGUAGCCGGGUUGACAAGUCAGAUGUGAAAUCCUGCGGCGUAACCGCAGAACUGCAUGUGAAACUGUUGAUCUUGAGUACUGGAGAGGUAGAUGGAAUUUCUAGUGUAGCGGUGAAAUGCGUAGAUAUUAGGAGGAACACCAGUGGCGAAGGCGGUCUGCUGGACAGCAACUGACGGUGAGGCGCGAAAGCGUGGGGAGCAAACAGGAUUAGAUACCCUUGUAGUC
rnacentral:rRNA from 1 species